AAGAUCAUACUUCACAGGAUCAUUUCUGUAGUAUAUCACUUUCAUACUUCUCAUUUGAAUGCCAUGAUGAAGAGGUCUUUCGUGAGGACGACGAGCUUUCUCCAGUCAUCGAUGAUCGUUCACCUUUUGCAUUCUGUGCAAGAGGCCUGGGAAGUUGGGUAUUCUGAGUGGU